rnacentral:rRNA from 1 species
UACGAAGGUGGCGAGCGUUAAUCGGAAUUACUGGGCGUAAAGCGCGCGUAGGCGGCUUUUCAAGUCGAUUGUGAAAUCCCCGGGCUUAACCUGGGAACUGCAGUCGAGACUGUCUAGCUAGAGUAUGGGAGAGGGAAGUGGAAUUUCAGGUGUAGCGGUGAAAUGCGUAGAUAUCUGAAGGAACAUCAGUGGCGAAAGCGACUUCCUGGACCAAUACUGACGCUCAUGUGCGAAAGCGUGGGGAGCAAACAGG